rnacentral:rRNA from 1 species
GGGUUGUGAGGUUAAGCGACUAAGCGUACACGGUGGAUGCCCUGGCAGUCAGAGGCGAUGAAGGACGUGCUAAUCUGCGAAAAGCGUCGGUAAGGUGAUAUGAACCGUUACAGCCGGCGAUGUCCGAAUGGGGAAACCCAGUGCAAUUCGUUGCACUAUCGUUAACUGAAUACAUAGGUUAACGAGGCGAACCGGGGGAACUGAAACAUCUAAGUACCCCGAGGAAAAGAAAUCAACCGAGAUUCCCCCAGUAGCGGCGAGCGAACGGGGAGCAGCCCAGAGUCUGAAUCAGCUUGUGUGUUAGUGGAACGGUCUGGAAAGUCCGACGGUACAGGGUGAUAGUCCCGUACACCAAAAUGCACAGGUUGUGAACUCGAAGAGUAGGGCGGGACACGUGGUAUCCUGUCUGAAUAUGGGGGGACCAUCCUCCAAGGCUAAAUACUCCUGACUGACCGAUAGUGAACCAGUACCGUGAGGGAAAGGCGAAAAGAACCCCGGCGAGGGGAGUGAAAAAGAACCUGAAACCGUGUACGUACAAGCAGUGGGAGCACCUUUAUGGUGUGACUGCGUACCUUUUGUAUAAUGGGUCAGCGACUUAUAUUCUGUAGCAAGGUUAACCGUAUAGGGGAGCCGCAGGGAAACCGAGUCUUAACUGGGCGUUAAGUUGCAGGGUAUAGACCCGAAACCCGGUGAUCUAGCCAUGGGCAGGUUGAAGGUUGGGUAACACUAACUGGAGGACCGAACCGACUAAUGUUGAAAAAUUAGCGGAUGACUUGUGGCUGGGGGUGAAAGGCCAAUCAAACCGGGAGAUAGCUGGUUCUCCCCGAAAGCUAUUUAGGUAGCGCCUCGUGAACUCAUCUUCGGGGGUAGAGCACUGUUUCGGCUAGGGGGUCAUCCCGACUUACCAACCCGAUGCAAACUACGAAUACCGAAGAAUGUUAUCACGGGAGACACACGGCGGGUGCUAACGUCCGUCGUGAAGAGGGAAACAACCCAGACCGCCAGCUAAGGUCCCAAAGUCAUGGUUAAGUGGGAAACGAUGUGGGAAGGCACAGACAGCCAGGAUGUUGGCUUAGAAGCAGCCAUCAUUUAAAGAAAGCGUAAUAGCUCACUGGUCGAGUCGGCCUGCGCGGAAGAUGUAACGGGGCUAAACCAUGCACCGAAGCUGCGGCAGCGACGCUUAGGCGUUGUUGGGUAGGGGAGCGUUCUGUAAGCCUGCGAAGGUGGCCUGUGAGGGCUGCUGGAGGUAUCAGAAGUGCGAAUGCUGACAUAAGUAACGAUAAAGCGGGUGAAAAGCCCGCUCGCCGGAAGACCAAGGGUUCCUGUCCAACGUUAAUCGGGGCAGGGUGAGUCGACCCCUAAGGCGAGGCCGAAAGGCGUAGUCGAUGGGAAACAGGUUAAUAUUCCUGUACUUGGUGUUACUGCGAAGGGGGGACGGAGAAGGCUAUGUUAGCCGGGCGACGGUUGUCCCGGUUUAAGCAUGUAGGCGGAGGUUCCAGGUAAAUCCGGUACCUUUUAACGCUGAGGUGUGAUGACGAGGCACUACGGUGCUGAAGUAACAAAUGCCCUGCUUCCAGGAAAAGCCUCUAAGCAUCAGGUAACAUUAAAUCGUACCCCAAACCGACACAGGUGGUCAGGUAGAGAAUACCAAGGCGCUUGAGAGAACUCGGGUGAAGGAACUAGGCAAAAUGGUGCCGUAACUUCGGGAGAAGGCACGCUGGUGUGUAGGUGAAGUCCCUGCGGAUGGAGCUGAGACCAGUCGAAGAUACCAGCUGGCUGCAACUGUUUAUUAAAAACACAGCACUGUGCAAACACGAAAGUGGACGUAUACGGUGUGACGCCUGCCCGGUGCCGGAAGGUUAAUUGAUGGGGUUAUCCGUAAGGAGAAGCUCUUGAUCGAAGCCCCGGUAAACGGCGGCCGUAACUAUAACGGUCCUAAGGUAGCGAAAUUCCUUGUCGGGUAAGUUCCGACCUGCACGAAUGGCGUAAUGAUGGCCAGGCUGUCUCCACCCGAGACUCAGUGAAAUUGAACUCGCUGUGAAGAUGCAGUGUACCCGCGGCAAGACGGAAAGACCCCGUGAACCUUUACUAUAGCUUGACACUGAACAUUGAGCCUUGAUGUGUAGGAUAGGUGGGAGGCUUUGAAGCGUGGACGCCAGUCUGCGUGGAGCCAACCUUGAAAUACCACCCUUUAAUGUUUGAUGUUCUAACGUUGGCCCCUGAUCGGGGUUGCGGACAGUGUCUGGUGGGUAGUUUGACUGGGGCGGUCUCCUCCCAAAGAGUAACGGAGGAGCACGAAGGUUAGCUAAUCCUGGUCGGACAUCAGGAGGUUAGUGCAAUGGCAUAAGCUAGCUUGACUGCGAGCGUGACGGCGCGAGCAGGUGCGAAAGCAGGUCAUAGUGAUCCGGUGGUUCUGAAUGGAAGGGCCAUCGCUCAACGGAUAAAAGGUACUCCGGGGAUAACAGGCUGAUACCGCCCAAGAGUUCAUAUCGACGGCGGUGUUUGGCACCUCGAUGUCGGCUCAUCACAUCCUGGGGCUGAAGUAGGUCCCAAGGGUAUGGCUGUUCGCCAUUUAAAGUGGUACGCGAGCUGGGUUUAGAACGUCGUGAGACAGUUCGGUCCCUAUCUGCCGUGGGCGCUGGAGAAUUGAGGGGGGCUGCUCCUAGUACGAGAGGACCGGAGUGGACGCAUCACUGGUGUUCGGGUUGUCAUGCCAAUGGCACUGCCCGGUAGCUAAAUGCGGAAGAGAUAAGUGCUGAAAGCAUCUAAGCACGAAACUUGCCCCGAGAUGAGUUCUCCCUGAGACUUUAAGUCUCCUGAAGGAACGUUGAAGACGACGACGUUGAUAGGCCGGGUGUGUAAGCGCAGCGAUGCGUUGAGCUAACCGGUACUAAUGAACCGUGAGGCUUAACCUUACAACGCCGAAGCUGUU